rnacentral:rRNA from 1 species
GUCCAGCCUGCCCGGUGACAAAGUUUAACGGCCGCGGUACCCUAACCGUGCGAAGGUAGCAUAAUCACUUGUUCUUUAAAUGGGGACUAGUAUCAAUGGCAUCACGAGGGUUUCACUGUCUCCUUUCUCCAAUCAGUGAAACUGAUCUCCCCGUGAAGAAGCGGGGAUAGACAUAUAAGACGAGAAGACCCCAUGGAGCUUUAAGCCCAACAACAACUUUACAUAAACAUUUCCUCAUAACCUUAAAGUUUUGUCUGUUGGCUUUAGGUUGGGGUGACCGCGGAGUAUAAAAUAACCUCCACGACGAACGGGUUUCAACCCCCUUAUCCAAGAGCUACUGCUCUAAGAAUCACUAAACUGACGUAAAAUGAUCCAAUUAUUGAUCCACGAACCAAGUUACCCUGGGGAUAACAGCGCAAUCCAUUUCAAGAGCUCCUAUCGACAAAUGGGUUUACGACCUCGAUGUUGGAUCAGGGUAUCCUAGUGGCGCAGCCGUUACUAAAGGUUCGUUUGUUCAACGAUUAAAACCCUAC